AUUGAACGCUGGCGGCAGGCUUAACACGUGCAAGUCGAGCGGUAACAGAGAGAAGCUUGCUUCUCUGCUGACGAGCGGCGGACGGGUGAGUAAUGCCUUGGAAUCUGCCUAGUAGUGGGGGAUAACUUGCCGAAAGGUAAGCUAAUACCGCAUACGUCCUACGGGAGAAAGGAGGGGACAUUCGGGCCUUUCGCUAUUAGAUGAGCCUAGGUCGGAUUAGUUAGUUGGUUAGGUAAUGGCUCACCAAGACCGCGCUCCGUAACUGAUAUGAUGGGAUGAUCAGUCACACUGGAACUGAGACACGGUCCAGACUCCUACGGGAGUCAGCAGUGGGGAAUAUUGGACAAUGGGGGGAACCCUGAUCCAUCCAUGCCGCGUGUGUGAAGAAGGUCUUAGGAUUGUAAAGCACUUUAAGUUGGGAGGAAGAGCAAUUAACUAAUAUUUGACUGUUUUGACGUUACCGACAGAAUAAGCACCGGCUAACUUCGUGCCAGCAGCCGCCGUAA
rnacentral:rRNA from 1 species